rnacentral:lncRNA from 1 species
CAUCAUUUGAGUCAAUUGGAGGUGUACCUGUGGAUGUAUUUCAAGGCCUACCUUCAAACUCAGUGUCUCUUUGCUUGACAUCAUGAGAAAAUGAAAAGAAAUCAGCCAAGACCUCAGAAAAAAAAUUGUACACCUCCACAAGUCUGGUUCAUCCUUGGGAGCAAUUUCCAAACGCCUGAAGGGUUGCAACAUGUUUAACGACACCAACUACACAGCCUUGUAUUGUUGUCUUCAGGUUGGAUGCGGUUUGAUCACAUGGUGCAGCAGUUCCUUUGUAGUCCUCCAGCUGUGUGGUGCCACACAGAUAAGACUGUUUUAUUGAUUCCCAAUAUAACCCCAAAGACACACGCUACCUGCAUGGGCAUUCUAAU